GAUUUGCCGGGUGCUACCAUGCAGUCGACGAAGCCAUUAAUUUCGGUUAAGGGCUUAGUGGCGGACGGGUGAGUAACGCGUGAGGAACCUGCCUUACAGAGGGGGAUAAUGUCUGGAAACGGACACUAAUACCGCAUGAUAUUCCAGCAUCACAUGAUGCAGGGAUCAAAGGAGCAAUCCGCUGUAAGAUGGACUCGCGUCCGAUUAGCUAGAUGGUGAGAUAAAAGCCCACCAUGGCGACGAUCGGUAGCCGGACUGAGAGGUUGAACGGCCACAUUGGGACUGAGACACGGCCCAGACUCCUACGGGAGGCAGCAGUGGGGGAUAUUGCACAAUGGAGGAAACUCUGAUGCAGCAACGCCGCGUGAGGGAAGACGGUCUUCGGAUUGUAAACUUUUGUACUCAGGGACGAUAAUGACGGUACCUGAGCAGCAAGCUCCGGCUAACUACGUGCCAGCAGCCGCGGUAAUACGUAGGGAGCGAGCGUUGUCCGGAUUUACUGGGUGUAAAGGGUGCGUAGGCGGCAGGACAAGUCAGCUGUGAAAACUAUGGGCUUAACCCAUAGCCUGCAGUUGAAACUGUUCUGCUUGAGUGAAGUAGAGGUAGGUGGAAUUCCCGGUGUAGCGGUGAAAUGCGUAGAGAUCGGGAGGAACACCAGUGGCGAAGGCGGCCUACUGGGCUUUAACUGACGCUGAGGCACGAAAGCAUGGGUAGCAAACAGGAUUAGAUACCCUGGUAGUCCAUGCUGUAAACGAUGAUUACUAGGUGUGGGGGGUCUGACCCCUUCCGUGCCGGAGUUAACACAAUAAGUAAUCCACCUGGGGAGUACGACCGCAAGGUUGAAACUCAAAGGAAUUGACGGGGGCCCGCACAAGCAGUGGAGUAUGUGGUUUAAUUCGAAGCAACGCGAAGAACCUUACCAGGUCUUGACGUCCUACUAACGAAGCAGAGAUGCAUAAGGUGCCCUUCGGGGAAAGUAGAGACAGGUGGUGCAUGGGUUGUCGUCAGCUCGUGUCGUGAGAUGUUGGGUUAAGUCCCGCAACGAGCGCAACCCUUACUGUUAGUUGCUACGCAAGAGCACUCUAACAGGACUGCCGUUGACAAAACGGGA
rnacentral:rRNA from 1 species